rnacentral:rRNA from 1 species
GAUGGUAGUGUAUUGGACUACCAUGGCUCUCACGGGUAACGGGGAAUUAGGGUUCGAUUCCGGAGAAGGAGCCUGAGAAACGGCUACUACAUCUAAGGAAGGCAGCAGGCGCGUAAAUUACCCAAUCCUGAUUCAGGGAGGUAGUGACAAGAAAUAACAACUCGGGUCCCUCUGGGACUGCGAGAUUGCAAUGAGAACAAUUUAAACCACUUAUCCAGGAACAAUUGGAGGGCAAGUCUGGUGCCAGCAGCCGCGGUAAUA